rnacentral:lncRNA from 1 species
AUAUUUAAACAAAUGGUUCGACCUAUUGAUGCAAGGAGAUAUAAAUUUAUGGACGUGAAUGAGCUAUCCAAAGUACACUUUACAUUCUAAAUAAUUAUAAAAAAAAUUGAAGAUUUUAUUGAGUAAGUAUCAUCUUACCAUACUGUUUAAUGAUUAAAAAAAAUUUUUAGAUUGAUAUAAAAUUAAAAAUCAUAACUUCUUGCAGUGAGCACAAGAGUAUACUAUGUAGAGAGAAUAAUACGGAUGCC